rnacentral:RNase_P_RNA from 22 species
CGAAGAAGGACAGACGGUCGCCGGUUUCGCAAGAAACGGGAGGAAAGUCCGGGCUCCGCAGAGCAGGAUGGUUCCUAACGGGAACCGGGGGUGACCCCAGGGACAGUGCCACAGAGAGAAGACCGCCUGCUUUGGCAGGUAAGGGUGAAAGGGUGAGGUAAGAGCUCACCAGCUCUGGUGGUGACAUCAGAGGCUCGGUAAACCCCAUCUGGAGCAAGGCCAAAUAGGGAAGCGUUUGAGAGCGGCUCGCUCGAAGCUUUCGGGUUGGCUGCUUGAGGCCGUCGGCAACGGCGGUCCUAGAGGAAUGAUCGUUGCCCGUCUCCGGGUAACCGGAUUCGGGUACAGAACCCGGCUUACGGCCUUCUUCGACCA